rnacentral:rRNA from 1 species
UACGUAGGUGGCAAGCGUUGUCCGGAUUUACUGGGCGUAAAGAGCGCGCAGGCGGUCGUUCAAGUCGCGUGUGAAAGCCCCCGGCUCAACUGGGGAGGGUCACGCGAUACUGAUCGACUCGAAGGCAGGAGAGGGUAGUGGAAUUCCCGGUGUAGUGGUGGAAUGCGUAGAGAUCCGGAGGAACACCAGCGGCGAAGGCGGCGUCCUGGACUGGGCCUGACGCUCAGGAGCGAAAGCGUGGGGAGCGAGUCCGG